rnacentral:tRNA from 1 species
GGAAGGGUACAGCUCAGUGGUAGAGCAUAUACAUAGCAUGCACAAGGUCCUGGGUUCAAUCCCCAGUACCUCCA